rnacentral:lncRNA from 1 species
UGAUCCCUAUGACUCGGCCACUAACUGGACCGGCCAGUAAUCUGCUAACUGCAUCCACAAAGCUAGCUAACUACUACCUACAUACACGUCAUGCUCUGCACUAGCACAACUUCUUCUCAAUGGCUUCUUGACUUGGCCAGCAUCCGAUGCAUACGCACAUAACUAACUAGGCUGACCCACUGCUAGCUUGCAUGCACCCACAUGAUCUCAUCUUAUACGAGUACACAUGCCGCAGCUUAGUAAAUGGACAAGGCUACAUGUAUGACUCAACGCAAAACAAAACAAACAUGAUGUAAUGACCUAUACAACAAGGUUAACUCUAACAAUCACCUUCUUAACCUUGUUGUCCCUUAUUCCACUUUUGAAGCCCGUGGCCAUCGAUGUCGUCGGUGCA